rnacentral:rRNA from 1 species
UGGUGGAGUGAUUUGUCUGGUUAAUUCCGUUAACGAACGAGACCUUAACCUGCUAAAUAGUUAUGCGGAUCCAUCUACUCAAAGGGCGAAGCGAAGCGGAUUUUCACCUCGGUGAUGCCGUGGCUGCGGAACUCUGGUUGGAUCCGUAGACAUACUUCUUAGAGGGACUAUUGGUAUCUAGCCAAUGGAAGUUUGAGGCAAUAACA